GACGAACGCUGGCGGUGUGCUUAACACAUGCAAGUCGAACGGUAAGGCCCUUUCGGGGUUACACGAGUGGCGAACGGGUGAGUAACACGUAAGUAACCGCCCCUCAUCUCUGGAAUAACAGUCGGAACCGGUUGCUAAAACUGGAUAUGAGCUUGCCAGGCAUCGUGAGGGGUGGAAAGAUUUUUUUGGGUUGGGGAUGGAAUCGCGGCCUAUCAGCUUGUUGGUGAGGUAGUGGCUCACCAAGGCUCCGACGGGUAGCCGGCCUGAGAGGGCGACCGGCUACAGUGGGACUGAGAUACGACACAAACUCCAACGGGAGGGAGCAGUGGAGAAGAUUGCACAAUGGAAGGAAGGAUGAUGCAGCGAAGCCGCGUGGGGUAUGACGGCCUUGGGGUUGUAAACCGCUUUUAAUUGUGACGAGGAGUUGUUGUGACGGUAGCAGUAGAAGAAGCACCGGCUAACUACGUG
rnacentral:rRNA from 1 species